rnacentral:rRNA from 1 species
UACGUAGGGGGCUAGCGUUGUCCGGAAUCAUUGGGCGUAAAGCGCGUGUAGGCGGCCUCGGUAAGUCCGCUGUGAAAGUCGGGGGCUCAACCCUCGAAUGCCGGUGGAUACUGUCGGGCUAGAGUGCGGAAGAGGCGAGUGGAAUUCCUGGUGUAGCGGUGAAAUGCGCAGAUAUCAGGAGGAACACCAAUUGCGAAGGCAGCUCGCUGGGACGUAACUGACGCUGAGACGCGAAAGCGUGGGGAGCAAACAGG